rnacentral:rRNA from 1 species
UACGUAGGGAGCAAGCGUUGUCCGGAAUCAUUGGGCGUAAAGCGCGCGUAGGUGGCCUCAUAAGUCCGCUGUGAAAGUCCAAGGCUCAACCUUUGAAAGCCGGUGGAUACUGUGGGGCUAGAGUACGGAAGAGGCGAGUGGAAUUCCUGGUGUAGCGGUGGAAUGCGCAGAUAUCAGGAGGAACACCAAUAGCGAAGGCAGCUCUCUGGGACGUAACUGACGCUGAGACGCGAAAGCGUGGGGAGCAAACAGG